GGCAACUCCUGAAAACACAGUGGGAUGUUUCAGGCAAAUACUGUCAGCCUCUUAAAAUACUGUAGGCUGAAGGGGAAGAAGCAUUUCAGCGACAUUAUUUCAAGAUUUUACUCACAAAGUGUUUGAAGGUGUCUGGAGAAAGAGGAGAAAUUAGUCUGCACUGAAGAGGAAGGCCACUUAGAUGAAAGUGGGAGAACGCAGCACUACAGACAUUAAGAUAAGAUGCUUAGAAAAAGCUUCUUCUCUUCUUGAGGAAGGGAAGAACGUAAAAAGCUGCUUCAGUAUUCUGCAGAACACCUGGUUCUUUGAUUCAUUUCCUGGAUGCCAAAGAUCACAAGAAUAUAAAUCCUUAUUGACUUGUGGGGAGUUAAGAUUAUACAUGGCCCCAUUAAAAGAGGCAAACUGAGAGCACACACAGAUGCAGCUCUUUAUAAAGUCAGGCACCUUGAUGUCUGCUCAGAGGCUCUGUGCUUCCAGCCCUGCUACUGCUGCUGGCCCAGUGGAUGAAUCCAAAGCUCUUCUGAGCCAACAGGAUCGAAAUUCCACCUCAUGUUUCUGGAAAGGGGGAGGAGCCAGGCCACGCCACCGUACUCCUGCUAUCACCCACCAGGAUGCAAAGUGAGGACUGUUUUUUUCAAAUGAUCUGUACAUUUCUGCUCAUACGCUGCUUAUAGCUUCUAUAUAUAGCUUUGCAUGGAAAGACUAGGAGGGAG
ensembl:lncRNA